UAUAACUUAAAUUAAAUGAAAAUGAAAAUUUAGUUAUAUUCCCAACAUAUUCCAGACUGCCAUAAAUUAUUUACGUAAAUGCUGAUUGAAAUGAAAAUAUGUUUCACGUUGUAUGAAGAAGUUUACGAACAAUCUACGAAACAAUUUCAAAAAUGUUAAAAAUGUCUUUGGAAUGAAGAAAGAGAGAAAAUAUGCAAUUUAUCAAGCGUUAACCUUGACCUGUUGCCCGAAGACAGCCCUCGGACAGUGUGCCACGCCCACGCCCACGUCUACGCCCACGCCGAAAAGAAAACCAAAUGUCGCCGCGUUGUCUGUUGCGCGCAAGAAAAGAAAGAAAAAACUCAGGGAAGCAAUCAUAGUUUAGUCACGAAUCACGAAUCACGAAUCGGGUCUUUGGGAAUUCGGGGAAAUGUUUUUAAAGUGUUGCCAUUUGAUUUAAUAUACGAAUACGAUUUAUGGCCAGUGCGAAAAAUGAUUUGAUUUUCGGUAUAAAUGAGACGGCAACUCAAUAGACAGAUCGGCCUGGCUGGAGGCGAAAUCUGAAGCAUUUAUAGGGCGUGAUGUGAUUUGGGAUUUGGAAAAUUGUUUUUCGCUCGUUCGCAUUUUCAUUUUAUGUCGCCGCCAACACACAAAAAUUAGGUUUCGGGGUUUUCUUUUGCCAUUUUACACAGCUAACAAAAUAUUUGGAUUUUCUGACAAAUUAAUGGUCGAUCGAAGAAAUU